rnacentral:rRNA from 1 species
UACGUAGGGGGCAAGCGUUGUCCGGAUUUAUUGGGCGUAAAGAGCGUGUAGGCGGCCAGGUAGGUCCGUUGUGAAAACUCGAGGCUCAACCUCGAGACGUCGGCGGAAACCCUCUGGCUAGAGUCCGGAAGAGGAGAGUGGAAUUCCUGGUGUAGCGGUGAAAUGCGCAGAUAUCGGGAAGAACACCCGUGGCUAAGGCGGCUCUCUAGUACGGUACUGACGCUGAGACGCGAAAGCGUGGGGAGCGAACAGG